rnacentral:rRNA from 1 species
UACGGAGGGAGCUAGCGUUGUUCGGAAUUACUGGGCGUAAAGCGCGCGUAGGCGGCUUUGUAAGUUAGAGGUGAAAUCCCCGGGCUCAACCUGGGAACUGCAUUUGUGACUGCAUCGCUGGAGUACGGCAGAGGGGGGAUGGAAUUCCGCGUGUAGCAGUGAAAUGCGUAGAUAUGCGGAGGAACACCGAUGGCGAAGGCAAUCCCCCUGGGCCUGUACUGACGCUGAGGAGCGAAAGCGUGGGGGAGCGAAACAGG